UACGUAGGGUCCGAGCGUUGUCCGGAAUUACUGGGCGUAAAGAGUGUGUAGGCGGUGCUCUAAGUUCGGUGUGAAAUCUCCCGGCUUAACUGGGAGGGUGCGCCGGAAACUGGAGUGCUCGAGCGUGGGAGAGGAAAGCGGAAUUCCUGGUGUAGCGGUGAAAUGCGUAGAUAUCAGGAGGAACACCUGCGGUGUAGACGGCUUUCUGGACCAUUGCUGACGCUGAGGCACGAAAGCGUGGGUAGCAAACAGG
rnacentral:rRNA from 1 species